rnacentral:lncRNA from 1 species
UUAAGGUUAGAAUUUGUGUUAGGGCUAGAUUAACGUUAAGGGUUAGGGUUAGGAGCUAGGGUUAGUUUUAGGGUGGUUAGGAGCUAGGGUUAGGGUUAAGGUUAGCUUUUUGGGUUAGUGUAAGGGUAAGAAUAUGAGUUAAGGUUAGGGGUUAGGCAAAAUAGGAUUUUGAAUGGGACUGAAUUGUGUGUCCCCACAAGGUUAGCUGUACAAGACUGUGUGUGUGUGUGUUGUGUGUGUUUUGUUUUAAUUAAGUCUACUGUACCUGUCUGAUGGUUGACUCCACAGGCCCUGAUAGGAAGACAAAUGCGUAGAAGAAUUCCAGACUAAGGGACUCCUCUUUUGGUCUCUGGACUCUUCUCCUUUGUUGAGUUGAUUUAAUUUCAACUCAAUAACAUAAGUUUUGAUUCAGUCCACUUUGUUCUGUUUUAGACGGUCCUCCAGAUUAGAAAGCUACAUUAAUUUUCCCUCUUUGUCGUCCUCCCCUCUUGGUAUGGAUUGUUCUUAGGAUAGAAUUACAGUUUCUUGCGCUCUCUCUUUGUUUCCUCUGUUCCUUUCUCUCUGUCCACUGUAGAAUUCUUGUCAACUUUUAGAUAAACUCUGUCCUCCCGUAAAUCUUUAACUCAGUUGAUACAUUUAAUAAAUCUAUCUAUCCCUACAUCUAGAGUUUGUUUAUCCUUUCUCCCUCUUUUCAAUUCACAAUAGUUCUCUCUCUUUCUCUCUCCCUCGCUCUCUCUACUUCUCAAUAACUUCCAGAUGUGACUGUGUUGUUGGCCGCUCUCUUUUCUCUCUUGCUCUCUCCUCUCCUCAGUAUUUUUGCCGUCGCUCCUCCAGCGCCCCUUCUUCCUCCACACCUCCAUCCCCUUACUCACCACAUCUCUCUCCCUCCUCCCUUUCACACUCUCUACCUCUCUCCUUCUCUCUCUCUAAACAAACAUUAUUCUCUGUCAGAUUAUCCUAUUCAGCAGAGCAGAGCAGAGAGACAUUAAGGCAUUUAUUUGACAGAGUUGCAGAUUUGUUUCUCUUCUAUUUCCUCUGAUUCUGUUGUACGCACCCCCCUCCCCCAACCCACACACAUACUUACUCCCCUUCCUGAAAUAAUAGUUGACGAAGGUUGAGGUGGUGUAGUGGCCAGGAUAACAUUUUCUAUUUACCAAGGAUCAAUCUUACUAAAAGCGGUUGUUGUGGCUUUAAGUUUAAUUUGUGAUCACAUCACAUCAGAGGGGUUCUAUGACUGAGUUGUUUGCCUGAACAACUGUUUUUGAUCUCUGCUGUUUUCUCUGCUAGACGUUUGCAACAGAUGCAACUUCAGAAAAAACAGACCAGUAGAAUAGAAGACCUGUGCGUCAUCACAACACCGCUCUUUACUGCAGGUCACAUUGAACUGUGCUCUGAUCAUAAAGAUGGGGAAAGGGCACAACCUAGUGGCCAUAAUCAGCAACACGUAUGUUUUUUUUAUUUAACCAGGCAAGUCAAUUAAGAACAAAUUCUUAUUUACAAUCACAGCCUACACCGGCCAAACUCGGACAAUGCUGGGCCAAUUGUGCACCACCCUAUGGGACUCCCAAUCAUAGCCGGUUGUGAUACAGCCUGGAUUCAAAUCAGGGUGUUUGUAGUGACGCCUCUAGCACUGAGAUGCAGUGCCUUAGACCGCUGCGCCACUCGGGAACCCCAUAUCAAAUCAAGUAAACAAAGCCUUUUCUAUGGGACAAAUCCCAACUUCCACUGAAGUUGAAUAUUCACUUAGUCAUGAUGUCAAUGGGAGACUAAGUGACUAUUUGUCUCAGUGGAAGUUCAGAUUUGCACCUAUGAAUUGAUUGCUAUUGAUUUAAGCAGUUCCAUAAAUAAAGUGCAUUUGAAGACCGCAAAUUGUUAAGCAAAAAGUAUUAAUAUUCUGCCACGUUCAACAACUUCAUUCUAGAACAUGCACUCUGCACAUCUAAAACUUUAUUUAACAAAAAAACAUUAAGACAAAACAGCAUACAAAAUACCAAGGGUAAAACUUAUGACCAUGCACACAACCACUCCUAUCUUCCCUGAGUUAUGUUGACAGAGCACACAAUCACAGAUACAUACAAUGUCAAAGGCCUUUUCAGUAGUACAAAAAUAUUUUUAACUUUUACAUUAUCACCUAGAAAAUCUUUUUAUGGAAAACUCUUCUAUUUUUAAACUGCAGUGGUUAGACAGAAUGCCGCUCCUCCAUUCUUCUUACCUCUCACUCUAAUUUUCUUUCUUUCCAUUCCCUUCUCCCCUCUCCAUUUCUUUUUCACUUUCCCCCUCUCUUUUUUCCCCUCCUGUCUUUUCUCAGUUCGAUUUUGAAAGUGAAGGAAGAGCCAUCCUCUCUUGCCCCUCCUCCACUCCCUCAUCAAUGUACAGCAGAGGCUCCUUCUCCUCCCAUUUCUCUGCCUCCUUGCUCCCAGCCACUCCUACUCCCCCAUCAGGCCCACCCCUCUCUCCCUCAGUCUCGUUGGCUAUGAAUGUGCUCAGCACCACAUCCGUUCCAGCCCCCUCUCUCUUGUUGUCCUCUGGGCUCCCUCCCUCCUCCCCACCCUCAUCCUCCUCCCCAUCCCCACGCCCUAGCUUCACUGGCCCUGCCCAGGCGUCUUCCUCCGCCCCUUUCUUCCGCUUGGAACUCUUCCCGUUCCGGAAGCUGGACACAAAGUACUCGGUGUGGCUCUGCCUCUUUCGUCUGAUGACCAGACAAACACAGUAGAACCCGCCCGCGAAUAUAACCACGAUCAGGAGAGCAACGAUGAUGACCCAUAACAAGCUGGGCUGACCUGUCUUCACCCUGACCCCAGCCACCGUAGAGUCUGGAUCUGUGGAGGUGUGGGUGGUAGCGGGGGUCGUGGCAUGGCCGGGAGGGGGAUUGACCAAUGGGGAGGUGGGUGCAGUGCAACACUCAUUAUCGCACCCUGCCCUAUGGCCCCAUGGGAUACCUCGAACCAGAAGCCACCCAUUCGAAGUUGACAAGAGGAAACGGUCCGUUUUGAUUACCACGCCAACAGAGCCAUAAGGUGCAGGUUGGAGGGUGAGGCAGGAUGUGGUAUGAUGAUGUGGUAUGACAUGGCCCUGCCUCCAUCCUCCAUUGCUCAGUCCCCUCAGACGGCAGUUUGGAAAAAAAACAUGAUCUACACCCCGCUUCCUGUUGACUCAAUUCAUUUCACAUGUUACAGAUUCAAAGUGAUAAGCGGAAGUUUGGUGAGAAAAGUCACAGAUAGCAUUCAAGUCUGUAAUUAGCGUUUUUGCCAUUGAGGUCAACAGUGAUGUCAAACACUUUACUCAUAAUGUAAUUAUUCAUAAUGCCUGCUUGGCAAAAAAGUAUCCAGUGCAGAUUAGGG